rnacentral:lncRNA from 1 species
UUUGAAAAGGAACUGUUUGUUAGGAUUAUGUUGCAAAAAUAUGCGAAGGCAUGGUAAGCAAUUGCAUCACGCACCCUUGCUACGUCCAAACAAGCGCCUUGAUAUAUCUUAGCGAUUUUGGCGAGGUGAGAAGUAUCGUAGACAAUCCAAAUGCCCAAAUGGCUUGUGGAUGACUCAGUGCUAUAUGGACGGAUAUCAUGGAUCCUGUGCGCGCCAUUCCGGCAAAAUCUGACGACCCAUCGUGAACCCCAUUCACUGAAGGGAAGGGCACGGGCUUUCACGGCACAAAGCUUCAGUUUGAUCUCUCAACCAAAGUAUCUCUUGAUCGACAUGCACCUCUGCAUUAUGAAGUACCUUAUGUAUUACACGCUUGACAUACCGAAUGGGUGCGUUAUGGGAACGACAGGAAGCGGUUCUCAAUCUAUGGUCCAAUCGAAUCUGAU